UACGUAGGGUGCGAGCGUUAAUCGGAAUUACUGGGCGUAAAGGGUGCGCAGGCGGCUCCGCAUGUCGGGCGUGAAAUCCCCGGGCUUAACCUGGGAAUUGCGUCCGAAACUAUGGAGCUGGAGUGUGGCAGAGGGAGGUGGAAUUCCACGUGUAGCGGUGAAAUGCGUAGAGAUGUGGAGGAACACCGAUGGCGAAGGCAGCCUCCUGGGCCAACACUGACGCUCAUGCACGAAAGCGUGGGGAGCAAACAGGAUUAGAUACCCUGGUAGUCCACGCCCUAAACGAUGAUGACUAGUUGUUGGAGGAGUUAAAUCCUUUAGUAACGCAGCUAACGCGCGAAGUCAUCCGCCUGGGGAGUACGGUCGCAAGAUUAAAACUCAAAG
rnacentral:rRNA from 1 species